UCCAUCUGAGUUUUACAUUUUGGUCCGAUAUUGUACUGUUACCCGUUUGUCUUGUGGUUAAGGGGAUGCUUUUGGGGCCAUCAAACAUUUUUUGAUCAACCCAAAUGUGUAUGUGUCUGUCCCAUAUCGUAGCCUGUAAUUUAGGAGAUAACUGUAUUGUAUUUUAAGCUCCGACGGCAUCAAUUGGGGAUUUGAUGGUCGCACAUUAAGUUUACUGGCGACCAUGUUUAAUAGAUUGACACAAAAAUAACUAUCUUAAAUAGAUCUGUUAGGCGCUACAAGGUUGAUUUUGUUACACAGAAUAUGUUUAAACAUUCGGAGACAUUUAAAAAAUCGUAUGAAUCACAUUUAAAUCAUAAAAUACUAUAAAGCGCGAGGUAGUAGUAUUUAUUCGUGAGAAAUACUGACUGUUACAUUUCCAUGAUCAUGCACCAAACACUGUGAGUCGUUUUAGAGUAUCUAAACAGAGUUUAUCCUAAGAUUUUAUUAACAGCUUUCUUCAAAUCAUAUAUAAAGUAAACUAAACAAACCAUACAUGUAACACAAAUCGAGUCUUUAUGAAAUUGCUUUGUCAACGUUUUUUGUAAAUUUUGAAAAUACUGUUAUUUAUUUGAUAAACAUGUAAAUGUAUUUUAAACAAGAGUGGCAUGACAAAAUGACUUUGUUCAAUUAUGUGUUGUAGAUACAGAUUCAAUCUUGUUUAUAGCCAUCGGUGUAGGUUCUGUUGUUGUGGUGAUCGCUUUGAUUGUAGUUGUCACUAUCAAAAUUAUCAGGCGAAAAGGCAAUAGAAACAAGGAUGGUAUUGAAGUUCAACCUGAUAUAGAUAGCAAUGACGAUGAUUCUGACGGAUUAAAAUAUAAUUGUCUAUACAAUGCAUCUGAACAACAAGACAUCAUAGAAGGGGAUUAUCAUACAGUUGACCUAAAAUUAAAACAAAAUAGAACUAGGAUACAUAACUUAGGUACUGACUACAGUACAGUCGAUGGAAACUAUAGCUCUGUUGAUAUGGUUAAUAUGCCUGCAAAGGAUGGUUCAAAAUCCGACAAAAGAACUAUGUCAUCAUCCACCAUAAAACAAAGAUCAGAAACACCACGAAUUGAAGAACAAACGAGUAAUAAUUUAAAACAUAUGACUGCUGGAAGUAAUGCAGAGUAUGCUGUUGUGGACAAAAGCGACAAAAGUGACAUAAUGGACCAGAACAUAAAACACGUUAGUGCUCCAAAUGAUAUCAAUGUCGAGUAUGCUGUUGUUGAUAAAUCAAAAGCAUAAAUAAUUAAUAACUAGUCUUUUCAUACUCUGGAAGCCUUUACACUCCAUACAUUAUACUGACGUUUGUUGUUACAUAUCAAUACAGACUUGUAAGUUUAACAAUCAAUAUUGAGUCUCUUAUACAUGUACAUUCUACACUGAUAUGAUAUCAGUUGAGCAAUUAAACUUUGAUCUUA